GUUACUGCUAUCGGAGUUCGAUUAAGCCAUGCGAGUCUAAAGGUUUCUUCGGAAACCUUGGCGGACUGCUCAGUAACACGUGGAUAACCUACCCUUGGGACUGGAAUAACCCCGGGAAACUGGGGAUAAUACCGGAUAGAUCAGGGAUGCUGGAGUGCACCUUGAUCUAAAGCUCCGGCGCCCAAGGAUGGGUCUGCGGCCUAUCAGGUAGUAGUGGGUGUAAUGUACCUACUAGCCAACGACGGGUACGGGUUGUGAGAGCAAGAGCCCGGAGAUGGAUUCUGAGACACGAAUCCAGGCCCUACGGGGUGCAGCAGGCGCGAAACCUUUACAAUGUGCGAAAGCAUGAUAAGGGAACUCCGAGUGCCAGUAUCUAAUACUGGCUGUCCUUGUACCUAAAACGCACAAGAUAGCAAGGGCCGGGUAAGACCGGUGCCAGCCGCCGCGGUAACACCGGCGGCCCGAGUGGUAGCCGCUAUUAUUGGGUCUAAAGGGUCCGUAGCCGGUUCGAUAAGUCCUCUGGGAAAUCUGGUUGCUUAACAAUCAGACUGCCAAGGGAUACUGUCGAACUUGAGACCGGGAGAGGUAAGAGGUACUUCAGGGGUAGGAGUGAAAUCUUGUAAUCCCUGGGGGACCAUCUGUGGCGAAGGCGUCUUACCAGAACGGGUCUGACGGUGAGGGACGAAAGCUGGGGGCGCAAACCGGAUUAGAUACCCGGGUAGUCCCAGCCGUAAACGAUGCUCGCUAUGUGUCAGGUACGGUGUGACCGUAUCUGGUGCCGUAGGGAAGCCGUGAAGCGAGCCACCUGGGAAGUACGGUCGCAAGACUGAAACUUAAAGGAAUUGGCGGGGGAGCACUACAACGGGUGGAGCCUGCGGUUUAAUUGGAUUCAACGCCGGA
rnacentral:rRNA from 1 species